rnacentral:rRNA from 1 species
UACGUAGGGUGCGAGCGUGUCCGGAAUUAUUGGGCGUAAAGAGCUUGUAGGCGGUUUGUCGCGUCUGCUGUGAAAAUCCGGGGCUCAACCCCGGACUGCAGUGGGUACGGGCAGACUAGAGUGUGGUAGGGGAGACUGGGAAUUCCUGGUGUAGGCGGUGGAAUGCGCAGAUAUCAGGAGGAACACCGAUGGCGAAGGCAGGUCUCUGGGCCACUACUGACGCUGAGAAGCGAAAGCAUGGGGAGCGAACAGGA